rnacentral:pre_miRNA from 1 species
AAAUAAGUCAUUGGAUCACAUGGUAGGUAUAUGUUUAAAUUUGUAAGAAACUGCCAAACUGUUUCCCAAAGUGGAUGUACCCAUUCUGUAUUUCCACUAGCAAU